rnacentral:rRNA from 1 species
AGAGCGAACGCUGGCGGCAGGCCUAACACAUGCAAGUCGAACGGACCCUUCGGGGUUAGUGGCGGACGGGUGAGUAACACGUGGGAACGUGCCUUUUGGUUCGGAAUAGCUCCUGGAAACGGGUGGUAAUGCCGAAUGUGCCCUCCGGGGGGAAAGAUUUAUCGCCAUUAGAGCGGCCCGCGUCUGAUUAGCUAGUUGGUGAGGUAAUGGCUCACCAAGGCGACGAUCAGUAGCUGGUCUGAGAGGAUGACCAGCCACAUUGGGACUGAGACACGGCCCAAACUCCUACGGGAGCAGCAGUGGGAAUCUUGCGCAAUGGGCGAAAGCCUGACGCAGCCAUGCCGCGUGAAUGAUGAAGGUCGUUAGGAUUGUAAAAUUCUUUACGACGGGACG